rnacentral:rRNA from 1 species
GACGAACGCUGGCGGCGUGCUUAACACAUGCAAGUCGAACGGAAAGGCCCUGCUUUUGUGGGGUGCUCGAGUGGCGAACAGGUGAGUAACACGUGAGUAACCUGCCCUUGACUUUGGGAUAACUUCAGGAAACAGGGGCUAAUACCGGAUAGGAGCUCCUGCUGCAUGGUGGGGGUUGGAAAGUUUCGGCGGUUGGGGAUGGACUCGCGGCUUAUCAGCUUGUUGGUGGGGUAGUGGCUUACCAAGGCUUUGACGGGUAGCCGGCCUGAGAGGGUGACCGGCCACAUUGGGACUGAGAUACGGCCCAGACUCCUACGGGAGGCAGCAGUGGGGAAUAUUGCACAAUGGGCGGAAGCCUGAUGCAGCAACGCCGCGUGCGGGAUGACGGCCUUCGGGUUGUAAACCGCUUUCGCCUGUGACGAAGCGUGAGUGACGGUAAUGGGUAAAGAAGCACCGGCUAACUACGUG